AUUGAACGCUGGCGGCAUGCCUUACACAUGCAAGUCGAACGGUAACGGGCCUUCGGGUGCCGACGAGUGGCGAACGGGUGAGUAAUGCAUCGGAACGUACCUUUCAGUGGGGGAUAACGUAGCGAAAGUUACGCUAAUACCGCAUAUUCUGUGAGCAGGAAAGCAGGGGAUCGCAAGACCUUGCGCUGAUUGAGCGGCCGGUGUCAGAUUGGCUAGUUGGUGAGGUAAAGGCUCACCAAGGCGACGAUCUGUAGCGGGUCUGAGAGGAUGAUCCGCCACACUGGAACUGAGACACGGUCCAGACUCCUACGGGAGGCAGCAGUGGGGAAUUUUGGACAAAUGGGGGGCAACCCUGAUCCAGCCA
rnacentral:rRNA from 1 species